CCUACGGGAGGCAGCAGUGAGGAAUAUUGGUCAAUGGGCGCGAGCCUGAACCAGCCAAGUAGCGUGAAGGAUGACUGCCCUACGGUUUGUAAACUUCUUUUAUAAAGGAAUAAAGUGAGGCACGUGUUCCUUUUUGUAUGUACUUUAUGAAUAAGGAACGCCUAACUCCGUUCCAUCAGCCGCGGUAAGCUGGAGGAGCCGAGCGUUAUCCGGAUUUGUUUGGUUUAAAGGGAGCGUAGAUGGGAUGUUAAGUCAGUUGUGAAAGUUUGCGGCUCAACCGUGAAAUUGCAAUUGAUUCUGGCAGCCUUGAGUACAGUGGAGGUAGGCGGAAUUCGUGGUGUAGCGGUGAAAUGCUUAGAUAUCACGAAGAACUCCGAUUGCGAAGGCAGCCUACUAACCUGCAACUGACAUUGAGGCGCGAAAGUGUGGGUAUCAAACAGGAUUAGAUACCCCAGUAGUC
rnacentral:rRNA from 1 species